CCAGCUCCAAUAGCGUAUACUAAAGUUGUUGCAGUUAAAAAGCUCGUAGUUGGAUUUCUGGUCGUGGGCACCGGUCCGCUCCUCGCGGAGUGUGUACCAGGUAUCUGCAGCCAUCCUCGGGGAGAGCGUUCCUGGCAUUAAGUUGUCGGGUUCGGGAUCCUCGUCAUUUACUGUGAGCAAAAUAGAGUGUUCAAAGCAGGCUUAGGCCGUUGAAUACAUUAGCAUGGAAUAAUAAGAUAGGACCUUGGUCUAUUUUGUUGGUUUGCACUCCAAGGUAAUGAUUAAUAGGGAUAGUUGGGGGUAUUCGUAUUCAAUUGUCAGAGGUGAAAUUCUUGGAUUUAUGGAAGACGAACUACUGCGAAAGCAUUUACCAAGGAUGUUUUCA
rnacentral:rRNA from 1 species